CAGCCUGCGCGACGGAGACGAGGACCCGAGUCGGGCGCCGGGUGCCCUUGGCCUCGGACCCGGGGGCGCUCGUCUGACGGCGGGUCUCCCGCGUGCUACCUUGUCAGAGCGGAGUCGGUGCACCCGUUGGGGGUCGAGAGUGCGGGCCCGGGUCGUGCUCGCGCCGGGGAGCCCCCGUGCCAGCCCACCUCAAGCCCUCCGUGCUGACGCCCCUAAAUUAUGUAACACCUGCCUCUGUCUCCAGGAAUGGAGAUCCCAUUCCGGAUAUUCCCGAUUCCCUUGGCUGCCAGCUGGGCGAAGGGAAGUUCACGUUCAGCCUCCGGAGAGUGUCCUUAAGUGGGUUUGGGGAGGGGGGCCCCUCCGCGUCCCCCCUCUGUCCACUGGCUGGAAAGGAGGCGGGCUCUCUGGGGCUGCAGCAGCCAGUGUGGACCAUGAGGUAGCACCCCAGGGAUCGUGGGCAGCAAGAUGGAAAUAGCCUAGAUUGGGGGCAGUUUUGAGAGUACCAGCCCUAGAUGCGUACCUCUGCAUGUUUGGGUGUGGAUGUUAUAUGUCUCUUCUGGGGCUGUCAGUAGGUCGUGUGUUUGGACGGGGAGGGGAGAGAUUUGUCUUAAGGACUUGGCUUCUGUGAGUCUGACACCUGCAGAGCGGAUGCUGCCCCUGGAGUCUGCAGCCACUGGCCCUUGAGUGGUCUCUUUCCUCCUAAGGCCGUCAGCUGACGGGGUGAGGGCCACCCACACUGUGGAGUUCUGUCUGCUGUCCUCCCAGCGACUACCGGAGGAGCAGUAGCUGAGGACACACAGAGGCUCAGCGGGAGAGCCACCCACAGCAGAAACAGCGGGAGAGGCCUGAAGCGGCCAAGGACAGCGGCCUCGGAGACAGCCCGGCCUGCGUCGUGGUCCCUGACUUCCAGCCUCCGGAACUGACAAAGAGCAAGUUCUGUUAAGUCACCCAGUCCGUGGCAUUUUAAAAAAGAUUUAUGUCUUUAUUUGAAAGGCAGCGUUACACAGGGAGAAAAAGAGAGAUGGGGCGGGGGUGGGGUGGAGAGAGAGAGGUGGGGUGGAGGUGGGGAGGGGAGAGAGAGAGAGAGAGAGAAAACCGUCUGCUUGCUGAUUCACGCCCCAAAUGGUCCCCGAUGUUGGACCCUGCCAAAGCCAAGAUCCAGGAACUCAGUGUGGGGCUCCCGUGUGGGUGGCAGAGGCGGAAGCCCUCAGACCAUCGUCCCUUGUUUUCCCAGCUCAUUACAGGGAGCUGGAUCAGAAGUGGAGCUGCUGAGACUCAUGGGACGCUGGUGUUGCAAGCGGUGGUUCGACCCACUGCACCACCGCGUGGGCCCAGCCGGUGGUAUUUUGACAGAAGCCCUAGGAAGCAAGGACACAUGAUGCAGCCAAGUUGACACAUAGAGGUAGCACUGCCGUGGUGCUUCUGUAGCCAGAGCACAUGGAAUGGGGAGGCGGGCACAACUCAUUCGCCUUCGGGGAGCUGGUGGGCGAGGACACAGCUCCCAACAGUCCUUCUGUUUCGGGGCAGCCUGAGGUCCGUCUUCCUGUGUGGCAGCCACGGGCAGCUUCCAGGAGGCCGUUUCUUGUGUGGACGUCUGUGUCUGUGUCUGGCCAGCAUUUGGGUUUCUAGGGACGGUGAGUCUUCCCGCCAUCCUCGCACAUCUCAGACCUAAAUUCCCCAGCAUGCACCGGCACCCAGAGUUGUCGUCUUUGUGAUUCUCAUCAGAGCAAGGCAGACCUCAGGGAGGACACGGGUACUAUUGGAGACCCCCGUACCGGGAAGAAGACCCAGUGGCUGUGCGUAGCAGACAUGACAUGUUCUCUCCUGGCCUGGGGUCUUCUCAUGGACUUAUUUUAUAAAUUCAGAAUUUUUUCAUCUGUCCCUCAAAUAUCCAAGACUAGCCUGAAAGCACACAGUGAUCCGUCGCUAGGUUGCACAGAGGGGGAGAAAGAGAGAGAGAGAGAGAGAUUCCAUGUGCUGGUUCAUUCCCCAAGGGGCUGGGCCAGGCUGAAGCCAGGAAGCUAAAACUCCAUCCAGGUCUCCCAUGUGGGUGCAGGGGUCUAAGCCCUUGGGCCGUUGUCUGCUGCUUUCCCAGGCACAUUAGCAGGGAGCUGGAUCAGAAGUGGAGCAGCUGGGACAUAAGAUGCCAGGAUUGUAGGCAGCAGCUUAACCCACUGCCCUGCAGUGCUGACCCCAACACUGAAGAUUCGCAUGACGAUUGCCAGCAUCCACAGUAGCUCCUGCGCAUUGCUCUAUUUGGCUUGUAAGAUUCGUCACAUCACCAACACCACUCUGUCCCUUAUGACUGGGGGCAAAGCACUUUGCGUGCAUUGCCAGUGGUGCUUUGUCCAGCCGUCCCGUAGGCAGUACUGUUACAUCUCCCUUUUUUACAGCUAAGGGAGGUGAAGGACUUGCCAGCAUCAUCCAGCCCACAGUGGUGGCAGGACCAGAUGCGUACCCAAGCUAUCUGCACAAAGCUGGCACCCUGACCUGUGCCCCAUGAUGUCUUUUUCGGGGGCUGCAACCCCCUGGCGGGGGGACCCACCUUGUGUUUGCUGCAUCGGGUGUGAGCUCGGCCUCCCCAAGGCUCUUCCGGCCUGGGCUUCCGUGUGUGGGUACCGGGAGGAAGGGGGGGAGGCCAGCUGUGCGGCUGCCUGGCUGGGAGGCGGGCUGUGUAUUGAUUGACUGAAAUUGGAUUUGUUGACACAAACUGCCAGCGUUUCGCAGUGAUGAAAGGAUUGCCCACCGGCCUUCUACAAGCAGAUUUCCCCGAGGGCCGCAGAGCUGCUGGUGUCGUUCUUUUGUGGCGAGAAGAAAGCAAUUAGGAGAGCGGGCGAGGUUAUUAGGACCAGGCACGCUGAUAUGGAAUGCAGGCAUCCCAAGUGGGGAUUUAACCGCCGUGCCAAAACACCCACCCUGACACCUGUAUCUUGACAGGAGGUCCCUGCUACCUGUGAGAUGUAUGGAAAUGACUCUUGAGGUCAUGGACGAUCAUACCAUGCUGCAUUUGCUGGUCCUUCCUCCCAGAAGCUGCUCGACUCUAAGAUUCCCCUUGGGCUGUGUUGCCCUAGAAGGACCACGGCAGGUGCACCACGGGCAGUGAUGGUCAUUCUUCCCACUGUCUGGACACCACGCCCCAAUGACUGUUGGCAGAUGAGGCCGACGCUGCAGGCUUCUAGAAUUCAAUUCUUUUCAUGACUCCAUGUGCUUGCAGUCAUUCUCAGCGUGACGAUAUCACACAUUUGACCCACUGUACUCUUCCUCUUCUUCUCCAAAUCGCUUAUGAAAAUGUCGGAUAGGGCUGUGGUAAAGGUAUGCCCAAUGGAGCUCUCUCUCUACGUUGACAUUUGCGCAUUGAUAGGCCCUGCUGGGUAUGUUUGUUCAACCAGUCGCCUGUGAAUCACCCAACACUUCUGUCAUCAGCCUACAUUUUGCCCAUCUGUUUGUGGGAAUAUUCAGUUUAGCUCUUUAGCAUAUAUUACCUACUUUUGUUCUGUCACAGUAGCUGGUGUUGUUUGCCUGUGUUGGGUAUCGUUGCAGGCAGGGGCCACAUCCUGCUUUUCUGCUCUUGACCUCUACGUUGAUCAUGUGAGAAGCAUUCAGUGGGCUCUUGAUGAGCUCUUUCAGCCAUACCGCUCAAUCAAUAGGCCUGUUUUCUUAUUUAUGCCUUUUCUGACCCUAUGGCAUAUUUUUGUUCAUAAUUAAUUAAUAUGUAAGGUGUGUGGGAAAAAUCUAAUUGGAUUUAAGUUCUUGCUUAAAUGCAUCAACUACAUUUAACCUAGGUUGAAUCCCUAACAGUUGGAUGAUAGAAAAUACAAGGAAGGGAAGAUGCUAGGAGCGGUUUGCCUUAGCCUCCUGGGGAGCUGCCCUUCCAAGAUGUCAGAGAAGAUGCCGCUGCGAAGGUGUGGGGCAGGCGUUUGGCCUGGUAGUCAAGAUAUCAGUUAAGAUGCCCACGUCUGGGGCAGGCAUCGUGGCGCAGCAGGUGAAGCCACCUCCUGUGAUGCCGACAUCCCCCAUGGGCACUGGUUCAAGUCCCGGCUGCUCCACUUCCAAUCCAACAAAGUAUUAGCAAACAGAAUCCAACACUACAUCAGAAAGGUCAUACAUCAUGAUCAAAUGGGACUUAUCCCAGGGAUGCAGCAUUUGCAAAUCAGUAAACAGUGAGUCCCAUCAGCAGGAUGAAGAACAAAACCCCGUGCUUGUCUCCUUAGAUGGAGAGAAAGAACAUCACAAGAUUCAACAUCGCUUCAUGACAAAAACUCUCGGCAAAUGAGGUACAGAAGGAACACACCUCCAAAUUAUAAAGGUUAUAUACGACAAACCCACAGCCAAUAUCACGCUGCAUUGGGAGAAAUGGAAAAUAUUUCCCCUUAGAUUCGGGAAAAAAGAAUGUCCACAUCACCACUCUUAUUCAUUGUAGUGUUGGCAGUGUUAGCAAGAGUGAUCCGAGAAGACAAAUAAGAGACGUCGGAAUUGGAAAGGAGGAGGGAAAAAGACCCACAUUUGCAGAUUGCGUGAAGCUGCACAUGAAAAAACCUGCACACGUCGCCAAAACGUUGUUAGAACUGAAAAACUAUUCAUAAAGUCACAGGGCGCAAAAUCAACAUACAAAAAAUGGCAUUUUUAUACGUCAAUAAUGAUCUUUCUGGAAGAGAAUUAAGAAAUCAAUUUCAUUCACAAUCAUUAGAAGAAAUUAAAUUUUAGUAAUAGAUUUAACCAAAGAACUGAAAAAUUUCAAUAAAAUUAUAAAAUACUGAUGAAAGAAGUCAUGGAAGAUUUGAAAAAUGAAAAUAUAUUUCAAAUAAAUAAAUCCUUGUUCAUGGAUUGGAAAAAUUAAUUUUGUUAAAAUGUCUAUGCUGCCUCAAGCAAACUACAGAUUUCAUGCAAUACCCAUCAAAAUUCCAGUGAUAUCUUUUAUAUAAUUAGCAAAACACUUGUAAAAAUUCAUACAGAACCAGAAAAGACACAGAAUAGCCAAAGCUAUCCUGAGCAAAAGAAAAAAAAAAUUGGGACCGGCGCUGUGAUGUAGCAGGUAAAGCCGCUGCCUGCAGGCCCAGUAUCCCGUGUGGAUGCUGGUUCAAGUCCUGGCUGCACCACUUCCAAUCCAGCUCUCUGCUAUGGCCUGGGAAAGCAGUGGAAGAUGCCCAAGUGCUUGGGCCCCUGCACCCGCGUGGGGGACCCAGAGGAAGCUUCUGGCUUCUGGCUUCGGAUUGGCUCAGCUCUGGUUGUUGCAACCAUCUGGGGAGUGAACCAGCGAAUGAAAGACCUCUUUCCCCCCCACCCCCUGCCUCUCUGCAGCUCUGCCUUUCAAAUAAAUAAAUAAAUAAAAUCUUUUAUAAAAGAAAAGAAAAUAAAUCAAGAUGCAAGCAUCAUAAUACCUGAUUUCAAGCAUACUGCAAAGCUAUCAUAAUCAAAACAGCAUGGUACUGACAUAAAAAGAUUACCUCACACUAUAUACAAAAGUAAACUCAACAUGGAGCCUACACGUGAUACCUGAAACCAUGAAUUGCUGGAAGAAAACAUAGGGAAAACACUUCAGGACAUUAGUACAGGUGAUGAUUUUUUGGAUGAGACCCCAAAAGUUCAGGCAACAAGAGCAAAACUAGACAAAUGGGAUUAUAUCAAUCUCAGAAACUUCCUCACAGAAAGGAAGCAUUCAACAGAGUGAAGAGACAUCCUACAGGACUCUAGAAAAUAUUUGCAGACCGCUUACCCAGCAAAAAAUUAAUAUCCAGCAUAUACCAGGAACUCCUAAAACUCAACAACAGGAAGCAACCAAUCCACUUAAUAAAUAGGUGAGGGGCCAGCGUUGUGCCACAGCAGGGUAAGCCUCCACCUGUGGGGCAGGCGUCCCAUACGGGCACCAGUUUGAGACAUGCUGCUCCACUUCCCAUCUAGCUUUCUGCUAAUGCGCCUGGGAAAGCAGCAGCAGAUGGCCCAAGUCUUUGGGUCCCUGCCACCCACAUGGGAGACCCGGAAGAAGCUCCUGGCUCCUGGCUUCAACCUGACCUACCCGUAGCUCUUACAGCCAUUUGGGGAAUAAACCAGCAGAUGGAAGAUCUUUCUCUCCUUCAGUCUGUCCUCUCUCUGUAAAUAUGCCUUUCAAAUAAAUAUAAAAUAAAUCUUUAAAAAAAAUAGGCAAAUGACCUGAAUAGUUUUCAAAAGAAGAAAUACAAAUGUCCAACAGAUGUAUGGAAAAAUGCCGAGCCAUCAGGAAUGUAAAUCCAAACCACAAAGUGAUAUCGCUCCACCCCUGUUAGAAUGGCUCUGGUCAAAAAGGUAGAAACUAACAAAUACAGCAAGGAGGGGAGAAAGGGAAACUCAUAUUCAUGGCUGGUGUGUAAAUUAGUGCAACCACUAGGGAAAACAGUAUGGCGGUUCCUUAAAAAAAAAAAAAAAAACUGGAAAAUGUCCCUGGCUGGAUUCUGUCCUGUGCCGCUGUUCUUUGCAGCAGCGGGCGUCUACCCCAGCUGCCUUCACGCCCACCUAUGUGUGUCCCACCACCCCAUGGAGGGUUCAGUGGAGCUGCCGAGGCUUCAGAGCUCUUCUCAGUGGUGAGCUAAAGGUCAGGAGACCAUCACUUUAAAGUGGACAAAGACAAAGGUGAGAACCAAUCAUCUUUUUUUUUUUUUUUGACAGGCAGAGUUAGACAGUGAGAGAGAGACAGAGAGAAAGGUCUUCCUUUGCUGUUGGUUCACCCCCAAAUGGCUGCUACUACCAGUGCUGUGCCGAUCCGAAGCCAGGAUCCAGGUGCUUCUCCUGGUCUCCCAUGGGGUGCAGGGCCCAAGCACUUGGGCCAUCCUCCACUGCACUCCCGGGCCACAGCAGAGAGCUGGCCUGGAAGAGGAGCAACCAGGACAGAAUCCGGCGCCCCAACCGGGACUAGAACCUGGGGUGCCGGCGCCGCAGGCGGAGCAGUCAGUUAAGGCGCUGGUGCAGAGGCAGUGAGUCGUGCAAUUAUGGGAACGUUGGCCACUCUGAGAUGUCCAGACAGCCUGCCGUUUCCCUUGAGAGCCCUGGAAUGCCACCACCCGUGGACUCAAGGUUAACGCGUGGCUCAGGACCUGUGCAGGUUGGUGGACAGCACUUAGCCUCUGUGGGGGAAGGUGCAGAGUCAGAGGAUGAAGGGGAGGAGAUGUGAACCUAUUCAGCGUAUCUGGAAAGCGAUCUGCCCCUGGAGCUGGCAGCAGGGAACCAUGGGAAACAGUGAAGCUUGCAGCUGAGGAAGAUGAUGAUGAUAAUGAUGAAGAUGAUGAUGACAGUGUUGGUUCUGAUGAUGAAGAAACUAAGAAAAACCUCCCGGGAAGAAUUCUCUAUGAGACACCCUAAUCAGGACUGCACAGAACUCAAGCAGAAUUGGAAAGACUCAACACCAGCAACACCAAGUUCAAAAGACCCAAAAUCCUCAAGAAACAGGAAAAAACUCCUAGAACACUGAAAGGACCUCGUUCUGUAGAAGACUUAGAGCAACAAUGCAAGUAAAUGUAGGAAAAGGUGACUCUCUUCCCAAAGUGGAAACCAAAUCCAUGUUCUAUGAGGAGGCUAGUCAAGCUCUGUGGCAGUCGGGGAAGACUGUUUAAGAAAGCAGUUUAAACAGCUUGUUAAUUUUUUUCAUUUUAUUUCAUUUCUAUAACAGUUGAUAUCUGGCUUUCCUUUUUAUAAUGCAGAGUGAGAACUUCCCCUACCAUGUUUGGUAAAUGUUGUCCAGGUUCCUUUGCCAAGAACGUGUUGUCCAAGAUGCUUGUUCAGUUUUUAAAGAUGGCACGCUACCCUUUGCUCGGUUUUAAGUAUGUAUGGGAUGAUAUGAAAAGACACAGUAGUAGCAGGGAUCAGACAUGGAAAUGGCGGGGAGGCAAAAAUAUACGUGUGAAAUAAACUCAGGAUUUUAAUAAAGUAGAAUUGCUACUCUUUCUAAAGAAGAAACUAGAAAUAGAACUGUCAUACAUACGAUCCAGCAGUCCAUUACCAGCUAUCUAUCCAAAAGACAGAAAAUCAUGAAAUCAUUGUGUCAAAGAGAUGUCUGCUAUACUGUGUGUAUUGCCGCACCGUUCACAACAGCCAAGAUUUGGAGCCAGCCAAGAUGUUCAUCGGCAGGUGAAUGUGGCACAUGUGCAGAAUGGAAUGUUCUUCAGUCGUGGACGGUUGAAGCCCGUCGUUUGCACAAACCGAGUGGAACUGGAAGGCGUCAUGUUGCGUGAAAGAAGCCAGACACAGAAAGACAAAUACUGCAUGUUUUCCCUCAUAUGCGGAAGCUUAAGAAACUCCAAAUGAACAGAGUGGCGAUUGCAGGGGGCUGGGAGGUGUGGGGAGGAAUAGGAGGAAUUUGGAUAUUGGGCACCAAAUCCGAGUUAGGUGGAAGGCGUGAGCUCCUGGUGUUACACAGCAUGGUUGGGGGACUGUUGGCUCGCAAUAGCUCAGUAUGAAUUUUGUGAACAAGUAGAAGUAAGCAGCACCAAGCCUCCAGUCAUACAGUCAUGUCACAGGAAGGGCAAUGUUGAUUAUCCUGAUUUGCUCAGUACACAUUGUAUACCUGUAUUGAAGUGCCACACUGUGGCCCAUAAAUACAUGCAAUUAUUAAUGGAAAAUUAGAAAAAUUUUAUGGGGAAUGGAAUUCCAACUUUCAAAAAAGGGAUUUUUCCAUUUAGACAAGACGUUCAAACCGGGGAGACAUUGUGCUACGUGAAAUAAGCCAGGGGCCAGCGCUGUGGUGUAGCGGGUUAAGCUGCUGCCUAUGACGCCAGCAGCCUGUGUGGGCGCCGUGCAAGACUCAGGUGCUCCACUUCUGAUCCAGUUCCCUGAUAAGGUGCCUGAGAAAGCAGUGGAAGAUGGCCCAAGUGCUCGGGCCCCUGCACCAACACAGGAGACCCAGAAGACGUUCCAGGCUCUUGGCUUCAGCCUGGCACAGCCUUGGCCAUUGCGACCAUUUGGGGAGUGAACCAGCAGCUAGAAGAUCUCUUUCUCUCUGUCUCCCCUCUUCUUUCUGCAACUCUGCCUUUCAAAUAAAUACAAAAAUAAAUCCUUGGGAAAAAAGAGAUCAACCCAACACAGAAGCACAAAUACUGCAUUGUCCCACUUACGUGAGGUACCUGAAAUAGUUAAACUCAUAGAAGAGGAGAUAGAACAGAGGUUACUCCUGGCUGUAGCAAGGGGAAGAUGGAGAGAUGUCCAAUUCAUAUAAAGUUUUAGUGAUGCAAGAUUAUUUUUUUGUGGGGAUCUUCUGUAUAACAUAAAGCCUGUAUCAACAAUACUGUAUUAUGCACGUAAAAAUUUGCUAGGACUGUAGACGUCAUGCUAAGUGUUCUCACUACAAAUAAAAUGAAAGGAAACUUCUAGAAGUGAUGCAUAAGCCCCUUUGAUACUGUGAUCAUGAUUUCAUGUGUCCAGACUCAUCAGACUGUAUAUAUUAAACACGAGAACUUUCAGUUAUUCCACAAUAAAAUUGCUUUUUUUUAAAAAAAAAAAAGGGGGGGGGGAAUAAUCAGAUCAGGAAAAGUUGGUGGGUCGUAGGAACUUAGAAGAAAAUUUUCAACCUACUAUUUAGCCACUGAGGGUAGGAUCAGCCAAUGAGGACUUAUUAAGAGCAAAUGAAGAUAUCAUUAUAGUGGUUAUAAAUGUGUUUAUUUUGCUCUAUUACUGCUUACAUUAUGUAUGACUAAUAAGUGAGUUUUUAAGUUUGGCUUUUGUCUAAUCAAAUCAAUAUUUACUGAGGCAGUAUUAGGUAGUGACUGAGACUCUGCAGUGGCUAAGCUAUAUUCAGAUCUCUUCUUGUUCAUCAGCUUGGGUGCAUUAUCUAACAUCUUUAGUUGCAUCCUAUGGCAUCUGCAGAUUUCACGGGGUUUGCUGGAAGAAUUCAAUUAGAUAAGACAUGUAGGAUGUUUAGAAUAGUGCCUGGCAUGUGGGCAUUGCUAGUUAAAUGACAGCUAUUAUUGUUUUUUUAAUACUUAAAUAAUAGUGUCUUGGGGAUGUAAGUAUUCAAAAUCUGAACUGCUCAUUCUUAUAUUGAAAUAGCUACUGUGUAACUUUAAGAAAUACACGCUGAUACAAAUACAUUGAUAAAGAAGUCAUUAGGAAGAAAACAAACUUAGAAUACUUUCAGGACAGUCCCCAAACCUUCAAAUAACAAAAUCAAAGUUACAGAAAGAGUAACACCUCCUGAUCUGAGGAGAUGCGUUAUUUAUGCCAAUAAUAUUCUCAAGUGUUAAAGUAUCACCACGGGUAGAAGUUAAGUAAAUGGAAGGUUGAUUUCCUUCCUCCCUCACUCAACAACUCCCGAGAUUUCAGCGGUCUUAGGUGCGAGUUCAGAAGCCAACAUCCUUACUGGGCACUGAAGAUGCGUUGCAGCCCUGGUCCCUCCUUCCCACCUUCCUCCGGCUUUGCCUCUGCUGUUCCUCCCUGCCUUCCCUUCUUAUGUUCCUCCCCCACUCUCCUCCUUAUAUCCAUGCAUCCAUCCAUCCUUCCAUCCGUUCAUCCAUCUGUCCACCUGCAGUGCCUAUCACUUGAGUCCCCUUCCUAUUUCUGCUGAAUCUGGAAGCCAAAAAGAUCAGAUAUUUGCCGACCCCAAAUCCUGGCAGCAAAGAGGUGGAACUCUGGCAUAACCAUGGCCACUGUGUGCUCCCACUAGAGACCUGGAAUGCAGAGUAGGGAGGUGAGGGGGCAGGGUCAGUGGGGUCUGCAGUAGUGCAGGUGCCCCAACUGCCCAUUGCUGGACACAGGCUUCCCAAGCCUCCCCAGUAGUGCUGGGUUCUCAGACCUGGCUCUCCAGGUUUUACCCUGCACCGGACCCACGAGUUACGUCACAGCCCCUAAGAUUCUUCUUUCCGAGGUCUCCCCUAGGUCGAUGCUGUGGUCUACAGCCAAGAAUCCUGAGCAUGGUGCCUGUGGCCACAUGGAAGAUGAGGUGCUGCCUGCGGCGUGUUCUGAAGACGACUCACCCAGUUAUUUUGCAGUCAGCCGCUCAGUUUGACCGUUAAUCACGACAGUGAUGUCACUGUGGUGGCCAUAUGUACUCUCUCGAUCUGAGGCCCUCCUCGACCUUGUAAUAUUAUUAAAUAUGAGAGAGAACCCACUUGCUGCAUAAUCUCAAGUCAGCUCUUAGUCUCUGAUUUUUAAAACAAAGUCCGUGAUAUCCCAGCUGUACUUUCGGUCAUUCUUAUAAAAAUAAAGGUGGCCCAGGGAAGCCUGCAUCCACUCGCCAGAAAGACAGUGAGCAGCUCGGGUAGGCAGCCGACCCAGUGCUCAGCAGGGCCGUUCUUAGUUUAUUUCCAUAACCAGGAAAGAACACACUGUAUCUAAAACAAUUCUUUACAAUAAAUAGAACGAUGCAUUUGUUUUUGUUGUAGGCUUCAUCACCAUUAUUUGUGACAUGCGAAUAUCAUGUGGCGCCUUGGUUAAUCACCCCCUUUUCUCUUCAUUCGUUCUUCAAAUCACUUAAUUCCAUCAUCAACUUGGAAACUGGGCAUGUGGGAUUUUUAAAAAGAUUUUAUUUAUUUAUUUGAGAGGUAGAGUUAGAGAAAGAGAGAGGAGAGACAGAGAGAAAAGUCUUCCAUCCACUGGUUCGCUCCCCAAAUGGCCGCAUCAGAGCUGCAUUGAUCUGAAGCCAGGAGCUUCUUUCAGGUCUCCCACGCCUGUGCAGUGGCCCAAGAAGUUGGCCCAUCUUCCACUGCUUUCCCAGGCCAGAGCUGGAUCGGAAGAGGAGCAGCUGGGACAUGAACUGGAGCCCAUGUGGGAUCGGCAGUGCCACAGGCAGAAGCUUAGCCUGCUAUGCCACGGUGCUGACCCCCGGAUGAAGAUACCUUCACUGACAUCUUGUCCGCUAAGCCAAAUGCCUGUCCCUUCUGUAUUCUUAAGUUGCUUCAGAUGACUUACCCUGAAAUCUUACCUACAGAAGACCAUUAGGACUCUCAGGAAAACCUGUUGAAUGCUGUCUUCCUUCUCAGUGCUGCAGGGGUGGUCACAUCACGGUCUGCCUGGAGUCCUGCGUAAUCUCCUUCUUGGGGUCACUGUUUCCAUCCGUUGUUCCUGUAGGCACGCACACUCCAAUUCAUGGCUUUUGCUCUUAGCGAUGAGAACACCGAGAAGCAGUUGUCCAGCCAAGAGGGCUGACCUUUCAGACGGCGGAGGAACCCCAGGAACCACGGGUCUGGUCCCGAGGUCCCUGCUUUGAUCUGGGCUUGCUGCCGCCUCCUCUGUGGCGUGCUCUGCCCCACCUGUUUUAGCUUCCGAAGCAGCAGCACUAGAAGAGUGAACGGCGCAGCCAGAGCCAGGAAGCCUAAUUGCUGACUUGGGCAGAUAGAAAAGGGGCUCUAAAAGGAGCAUCUUAAUCUUUGAGAGUCAUCAAUAAUGUGACUAUUUUCCCAUGUUUUAUGCAAAUGUGAUUUUUUGGUGGUAAACAGUAAGAUCAUAUAUGUAUAUAUAAUCCAAAAUUGUAUGCAAUUAGCAUUUGAAAGAUUGUAAUUAUAGCCUGGCUAGGGCUUUUCUGUAGGUGCUAAAAUGGAUUUCUUGGCUGAAUUAUUUUGCAGUAGACUUAAACCACUAAUUGUACACCUAAAUGAAAUUGAGUGUGAACAAAUCGAAUAACUUUUAUUUUACCUUGGAUAAUAAUUUAUUGAUGCAAAUAAAUCUGCUUAAUUAAAUCUGGCACAGCUAGGCCUGUGGAGGCCCCACAUAAAGGCAUUCUGUCACCCAGCUUUAGCCGUUAUUUUAAUUUUAGAAUAAUGUUCCCCCAUUCUUAGAGAGAAUUGUGUAUCUAUUAAGGCCUGUGGGAGCAGUGAGUUGUGGGUUCAGGAUAGAUCUCUUUAAAAGAAGUGAUACUCAUUUAGAAUGUAACUGAAUACAUCCAGAAUGGAAACGUGCCUUACCUUCCCUGGAAAUGGCCUCUUAGUUCAGAAAUUCCCAAGUCCUUCACAAACGUAGAAAGAGGGUGGAAACCGGGGCACACUUUAUCCUGAUCAAUGAUACCUCUUAGGCACCUAAUCAAAGAUAAGCCACUUAAACAAACAUGAGUUUCCCAACACUUUCGCACAAAGCUAUCAGGAACUGGUGGCUUGAAACAACAGAAGUACACUGUUGCACAAAAUCGAGGUGUCAGCAGGGCCACGCUCCCUCUGAAACGCGCCUGGGGAUCCUUGCUUGCUUCUUGAAGCUUCUGGCGGUUGGCUGAUGGAGAGGGAGAGAGACCUCCUAUGUGCUGGUUCACUGCCCAAAUGGCCGCAACAGCUGGGUCCGGGCCAGGCCAAAACUGGGAGUCUAGAAUUCCAUCCGGGUCUCCCACGUGGGCACGGGGGCCCAAGCACUUGGGUCAUCUUCCACUGCUUUCCCAGGUGCAGUAGCAGAGAGCUGGAUUGGAAGUGGAGCAGCUGGGACUCGCAUCAGUGCUCUGAUAUGGGGUGGCAGUGUUGUAGGUGGUGGCUUUACCUGUUGCACCACAACGCUGUGCCCAGGAGGCGGGAGCUUUAUCCACAGGCUCCUAUCCUGCUGCUGGAGGGUUGGCCCUUGCGUGACAAUGGCCUUGCACUUCUGGGCUGUGUUUAGCACAGGCCAAAUCCACUCACUGGUCUCCUGAGAAGCCCAGAUGCAAACGGCAGAGUCAGCUUGAGUGUGUGUUUGUGCAGAACCAUCCGUGGCAGCUACGGCUGAAAUGAGAGGCGGUCAGGGGGCUGUAGGGGGGCGUCAGAGCAUCUCCCGCAGCCCGCCCGUCACACUGCUCAGAUGUGCUGUGGCCCCACACGCAGCAGGCUCGUGAGGAAGCCUCCAAGGGGGUGGCAGGCUCCGGCUCCUCAGAGCACGUGUCCCCAGCAGGAUACGGCUGGCUCUCAUCUCCCCUUUCCAUCAUCCAUCCUAGAUGUCCCUACUCUUAGUGACGUCCGAGCUGAUUUGGGCUUGGUGAGAGGCUCGACCCUGUGGUAGCUGCUGUUGUUGGUCCCUGGCUGUGCAGUUGCCCCAGUAUUACUGAAUCUCCAGUGAAAAGCCUGUGUCACACAUCGCUCCAUCCCACCCCUCACUCUGUGGCAGCAACUCGAGCUCCCCAGGAUAAUCCAGGGUCACCGUUCCUGCCCGCGUAUGAACUCCUCCUUUGGCCUGCUGGUCUGUGAGUGUGAGUCCGCAGUGACCUGAGGGCAGGCAGAGCUUUAGGCUUUGUGGAGGCAUCACUGUGCUCUCCCGUGGGAGCCAACCUUCCUUCCCAAGGAGCUGUGCUGUCCACCGUCCCAGGGAGAGAAGUCCAGAUUCCCCAAGUGGCUGACUCGGGGUGCAGGUGGGAAGAGUUAACACGAUUCUACCUCUUGGUUCUCAGACUUAUGUAUUCUAGCCAUCAGGGACACAGCUUCAUACAAUGGUCCACGGUUCAAGACUUACCCUGUCUCUUGGAGGAUGGUGCCCCUGCCUCAUGGGCUGUUUGUCCCCCAGAUGGCUUAGCUGAGCCUUGAAGAGGCCAGUCCAACACCCAUGAGAACUCUCCCAGGAGAUGUGGCAGGCGGCAUGAGAGCUGACCCCAGGGCCCUGCACUCCCUGUCCCGCCUCCCUCGCUCCUUGCAUCCUGCAGGGUCCCACUUGGCACAGCGGGCACAGUGCUCAUCUGGGUGGUAUUCGUAGAGGCCCUGCACCAGAGAAGGAGACGCAGACAGCUUCAGAAGAGAGGUCAGUUCAGGCAGGGAGGGAUGCAUCUUUCCCCUCCACGUGGAUGUGGUCUGAUGGGAUAAAUGAUGGGUCUCCCAGGGGAAGGUGCUGUAUAAAGGGGUCAGUACUGGAAUCUGCUGCUGAUAGGCAAGGUUUUCGGGAGCAGGGCCAGCCAGGUGGCUCUUCCCUGGAGAAAGGCACCAGGGCCGAGAAGUCCCGGUAUAAUUGCCGAUCCUGCCGCCAUGGCCAUGCCACUGAAGGGCUCACCGUCCAAGCACUGGGUGGGCUGGGGACACAGGAUGACCGCCAUUCAUCAGCCAAAUCCUCCUGGGAGCACCUCUUCCACCCUGAAUCCUCCCUAGUGACAAUGACAUGAUACGAACAAUGUGUGGCAGCGUCCGAUGGGCCACCCACAGCCUCUUCCCAGACAUCCUUGAUCUUCUAACCCUGCGAGAGGCGUCAGGACAAGAGAGGUAGGUGACACGGAGACCUAGGCUACCUUUGCUCAGAACUGAUCCUCAAGAACUCCGUCCCCGUGUGCCUGCCCUGUUUGGCAGAUCUGACCAUGGCCAGCUCAUGCUGAGUAGCGCCAGUCCCAUCAUCGCUUGAUACCUCGUUUUCAGGCGCUUGAUCUCUACUGCCCCAUUAGUGCAUGGGCAGCUGGGUUUGAAUGGUGAGUACAAUCAUCAGUCCCCUGAAUGGAGUGGACAUGGCCUUUCUCCAGGACCUCAUAUAUGCUGCAUUGCAGAUCUGCUGGGGUUUGUCAAAGGUUCCCUGUGCAUCCUUUUCUGUCGUGGACACCCCCAGCACUAUUGGACCUGCUGAAUUAAAUGACCUCAGCAGCGGGGUAGGUUUUACUGAAGUCUGGAAUUUCUUUAGAGUUUUCCUAUGCUCCGGGCUUCACUCAAAACCUGGUAGACUAAUCAGCCCCCAAAACUGGAUCAGAGAAAUAAUUGCAAAUGCAAUAUAGCUUCCCUCCAAAAAUCAAAAGUAGCUUACCAAUGUACCUGUUUCAAAUAAUUUUUAAAAAUUUACUGACACAUUAAAAUUGUACAUAUUCAUGGAAUACCAUGUGAUGUUUUGAUACUGGAUCUAUGGGGUAAUGUCCAAUCAGGCCAAGUGUAGUUAUCUCUUUAAACAUUUAUCAUUUAUUUAUGGUGAGUCCGUUUAAAAUCUUUUCUUCUAGCUUUUUAAAGAAAAAAACAGACACUACAUUGUGAGUACCUAUUUACUCUAUUAUCUAGUUACCCUACUGUGCAACAGAAAUCAGAAUAUCUUACCCAAUCUAACAUGGACUUAGUAUAUGUUAAAUAUCCCUUCCCCUCACCCCCCCCCCCCACAUAGUAUUUAGCUAUAGAGAUGGGGUUUGGGGUGGUUCUUUUAUUUAGAGAUGGGGUUUGGGGUGGUUCUCUUAUUUAUUUAUUUAUUUGCAUUACAGCACAUAUCCCAAGUCAUGGGAUCAGUAAUAGAGUAUUCCACCGUGAUAUCGGGGGAGAGCAGGAGCGUUAGGACAGAUGGAAGGGAAGACAAUGCCUGUGUAUUUAGACCCCUUCCUGUAGCUCAGAACUGCGUCUGGUCCUCUUUCCUGAGGUUUGGAAGGGGCUUGUGGCCGGAUGCAGGCUGAGCUGAUCUGCUGCCGUCAAGAUGCCACAUCCAAUUGUGCAGCUGGAUCCAAUUAGGACGCAGCUUAGCUAGGUCUGGGGAGUCCGCGCCGCUUAUGAAAGCCCACCUGGGAUCCGCAGAGCCCACACGGACAGACGGAGUGGGCUCCUGGCACCAGCUUCCGCCUGGAGUGCUAUGGUCAGCGGCCUCUGCCCCAGGUCAUGUUUGCCUUGCCUCUGCCGGCUGAAUGCCGCUGCCCAGCCUCCAUACUCUGAACACCAUCGUCCUCGUGAGCACUGGAGAGCGCCGUCCUACGGAUGACAAUGGAAGACACCACCCCAGAGAUUCCCAGCAAUAGGGGACCCCGCCCCAGUGAGCUUCUCGGUUCUCUGUGAAGGCUGUGUCCCCUGGCCGCCCAGGAACAGGGUCAGGGCCUGUGAUCUGGCAUAGGAAGUCCUCCUUGGGUCUUCUCAAUACAAUGCCAAGGCUGAUAGGCCUAUUUUCUUACUGUAGGUGGGCCUCACGUCCCAGCUUCAAGGAUGGGCACAAUGGACAUCGGUCAUGGGAAAGCGUUAACGAACUUUCCCAAGGCCAGCGUUGUGUCGCAGUGGGCUCAGCUGCUGCUGGUGAUGGUACCGUUCUAUGCCACAGCGCUGGUUCGAGUCUCAGCUGCUCCACUUGUGAUCCACCUCACUGCAGAUGUGCCUGGGAAAGCAGCAGAAGAUGGUCCAAGUGCUUGGGCCCCUGCACCCAAGUUGGGGGCCUGGAUAGCGUUCUGGUCUCCUGGAUAAAUUCUGACACAACCCCAACCGUUGUAGUCAUUUGGGGAGUGAAUCAUUGGAUUGAAGAUUCUUUCUCUCUCUCUGUCUCUCUCUCUCUCUGUCUCUCAUUUUCUCUCUGUCACUCAGCCUUUCAGAUAAAUAAAAUAAAUUAAAAAACAAUUUUCUCCCACGCAUGUUCAUGUGCCACCUGCUGGCCCCACACUCCGGGGUCACCCCCACCUGGGUCUCCCUGGUUUCUGCUGGUACACGUGAGGCCUUCAACAAUGUCAGUGAAUAGUUUUCAACAUCCGUAUUUGUAAUUGGACUGUGUUCCCCUCCCUAGGGCUCUACUGAGAAGUGACCUCGUUAGUAGUCUGUGAUUGAUAACAAAGAAAAUACACAGUUGAGAAAAUGGCUGGAAAUAUGAAAUGAACGAAGUAUUGCUGUGCACUAUGAAGUCACUAAAGGGGAAAAGGAAAAAACAGAGCCGUGGACCAGGUCCCCCAUGGCCAGCAGUGUCUCUUGAAGUCUAUUUUCAACACAGCUGCCAGAGUUAUUCUUUUAAGACAAAACCAUGUCAUUGUUCUGCUUAAAAUCGUCCAGCAGCUUCCCGCCAAUCCCAGGUCAAAGCCAAAGUCCUUGUGUGGCUCGCCAGGGGGCAGCCCUGUUGUCUUCUGGACCUUGGCUCUCACUUUGGUGUCUCAGUCACACCGUGUAGCCGCACUGCCUCCUGCCAUUCGCAAACACGUCAGGCACACUUCUGCCUUGGCCAUUGCUUCUGCCCUGGGUCGCUCGCUCUUUCUAAUUUAAUUUAAUUAUUCUAGAAGUAGAGUUACACACAGAGAGAGGGAGAGACAGAGAGAAAGGUCUUCCAUCCACUGGUUCACUCCCCAAAGAGUUGCAAUUGACAAUCGGCCAAUCCAAAGCCAGGAGCUGCUUUGGGGUCUCCCACGUGGGUGCAGGGGCUCCAGCACUUGGGCCAUCCUCUGCUGCUCUCUCAGGCCGUUAGCAGGGAGCUGCAUCAGAAGGGGAGCAGCAGGACAGGUUCAGCGCCCAAACUGGAUGCUGGUGCCACAGGCAGAGGCUUAGCCUGCCGCACUGCCGCGCCCGCCCCGGGGCUCACUCUUACCCACGCUGCACAGAGUGCUUGGUCUGAAAUCCUCCCGUAUGCUUCCCCUGACACUACUGGCUCCUCUUGUCCAGCUUCCGCCAACUCUGUAUCAUUAAUUUAUUAUGGUUUAUUAUCUGCUUUCCCUGCGAAACUGUAAGCUCCGUGAGGGCAGGGUAGUUUUUUGCUCACUUAUGUAUCCUGAUGUUUAUGGAGCAUUGCUUUGCACAUAAUAGAUGCUUAUUACAUAUUUAUUUACAACGUUCUGGUGAGGCAGAAGCAAUCUGAAACUAAACAGUUAACUGCAACACAAAACUUGGACCAGAUCUUUGAUGAGUGUUUACAAGCUCUAAUUAAAUGUACUUGUAGCUAUCAAUACAUCCAUGCAUCCUCAAUGGAUCUGUUUCCGGAUUCCACGCUGAAGAGUCCUGUUCAAUUUCGUUAAUUGUAAGAAUGGGGGCGCUCGACAGGGCUAGCUCUGCCUCCUCUCUCCACAGUUCCUCACUCACACGACAGCGACCGAGCAAUGGAACUCUUUGGAGUCUCGGUUUCCUUGUCUCUAAGAAUGCAGGAUCACAUGAGAUAAAAUGUGCAAGCCCUCGUUCAUUCAGUCACUCUUCACUGAGACCCACCGUGUCCUCGGCGUCCUUGUGGGCUCCGGGGAACCGUUCAGUGUUCUUCAUCAAAGUUUAUUGAGUGACAGACACCGUGCAAGACACUCAAAAGUCACUACGCUCCCGGAACUUGAUUUUAGAGGCGGGACACAGACUGUCGGAACCUCGAAUGAGGAAGCGUUAAGGCAGUCAGACGGCAUGAUGGUUAAUUUCCGUGUGACCUUGCCUGGGCCGAGAGAUGUCCCGAUGGCUGGUGAGACAUCACACAUGGGCGAGUCUGUGAGAGCGUUCCGGAAGGAAGGAACACUUGAACUUGUAGACUGAGUAAGGAUCCACCCCCAGCGCCCUGUGCAGGUGUCACUCGGUCCAUGGAGGAGCUGACUAGAACAGAAAGGUGGAGGAACAGUGACCUCUUGCCCUCUUUUCUUGAGCCGUAACAUCUGUCAUCUCCUGUUCUUGGACUUCGGAGCUUUUGCUCCUUAGGUCUUCAGACCCUGAAGCUUACGCCAGCAGCCGCUCCCCGGUGGACCAGGGCUCACUCUGUUGCCCCCUUGGCUCUCAGACCUCAGACUUGCACAGAAUCACAUCAGCAGCCUUCCUGGUUGUCUGGCUUGCAGGUGGAAUUUCAGGAUCUUCUUGGGCUCCAUGGUCCUGGGAGUCAAUCGCCCUGAGAAGUCUCCUCUUUGGCUCUCUCUCCGUAAAGGCUGUUGGUUCUGUUUCCCUGGAGAACCCUGACGACCGCUCUGGGAAAACAUUCCCGGGGAGAAAAGGGGCUGCAGACAGUGCAU